rnacentral:rRNA from 1 species
UACGUAGGGUGCGAGCGUUAAUCGGAAUUACUGGGCGUAAAGCGUGCGCAGGCGGUUCGUUGUGUCGGCGGUGAAAGCCCCGGGCUUAACCUGGGAAUGGCCGGUGAAACUGGCGAACUGGAGUAUGGCAGAGGGGGGUGGAAUUCCGCGUGUAGCAGUGAAAUGCGUAGAGAUGCGGAGGAACACCGAUGGCGAAGGCAGCCCCCUGGGCUGACACUGACGCUCAGGCACGAAAGCGUGGGGAGCAAACAGG